AUUGAACGCUGGCGGCAGGCCUAACACAUGCAAGUCGAGCGGAUGAGGGUAGCUUGCUAUCUGAUUCAGCGGCGGACGGGUGAGUAAUGCCUAGGAAUCUGCCUGGUAGUGUGGGACAACGUUUCGAAAGGAACGCUAAUACCGCAUACGUCCUACGGGAGAAAGUGGGGGAUCUUCGGACCUCACGCUAUCAGAUGAGCCUAGGUACGAUUAGCUAGUUGGUGAGGUAAAGGCUCACCAAGGCGACGAUCGUUAACUGGUCUGAGAGGAUGAUCAGUCACACUGGAACUGAGACACGGUCCAGACUCCUACGGGAGGCAGCAGUGGGGAAUAUUGGACAAUGGGCGAAAGCCUGAUCCAGCCAUGCCGCGUGUGUGAAGAAGGUCUUCGGAUUGUAAAGCACUUUAAGUUGGGAGGAAGGGCAGUAAGUUAAUACCUUGCUGUUUUGACGUUACCAACAGAAUAAGCACCGGCUAACUUCGUGCCAGCCGCCGCAGUAA
rnacentral:rRNA from 1 species